UACGUAGGGUGCGAGCGUUGUCCGGAAUUAUUGGGCGUAAAGAGCUCAUAGGCGGUCUGUCGCGUCGGUCGUGAAAACUUGGGGCUUAACCCUGAGCUUGCGGUCGAUACGGGCAUGACUGGAGUUCGGCAGGGGAGACUGGAAUUCCUGGUGUAGCGGUGAAAUGCGCAGAUAUCAGGAGGAACACCAGUGGCGAAGGCGCUGACCUGGACGAAGAUUGACGCUGAGGUGCGAAAGCGUGGGGAGCAAACAGG
rnacentral:rRNA from 1 species